UCACUUUCCAGAACCGGUGUUUGUUUGCUUGUUUGUUUUUGUUUGUUUGUUUUUAGCCAGAAAGGCACAUGACGAGAAAACCCGGUCCUUUGCUUCGCUUUCUCAUGGCUGGAGAUGCGGGCAGCUCCCGAAAGGCAACGGAGGAACCCAUGUGAAGAAGCGGAGCGACUUCGGCUUCGCUCAGCUCCGCAGCCCCCGGUGCUGGUUGUUUUCCGCGUGCAUCUGUCUCAGAGCAGAAAAAUCACAUCCAUAUGUCAAAGCCGCUCUCUUCUGUUUCCUUUUUAUGAGGCAGUGGGAAGUUCAAAUAAUUUCUUUGUCAAACGCAAACACACAGAAAGAGGCAGAGAGGGAGGGAGGGAGGGAGAAAGGCGAGAGAGGGGUGGAAGGGGUGGGAGAUCGGAGAGGGUGGGGGAAGCUUUAAACCACGGCUUUAUUUUUAGAUCCAGUAAUUUUAUCUUUUGGGUUUCGGAGGGGUUUGGAAAGAGAGAGAAAAAAAAAAAACACCUUUUUUUUUCUUCUUCUUUUUCUUCUCUUUCGGCCACACGAGCCGCUCUCAGAGCAGAAAGUUACGGGAGAAAAAAAAAUAGCGAAAACUUGGCAAUAUUUUCCCUCCUCAAUUACCUUUUCGCAAACAGCGGUGCUCUGGGUUUUUUUUUUUUUCUUUUUUUUUUUUCUUUUUUUUUUUUUGUUUUUUGCUGGUGUAUCGCCGCGCGUUUUGCCUCCACAAUCGGUUUAUUCUCCAGCCCUCCGGGUCGCAGUGUGUUUCAGUUACUAAUCGGGAUUUUUUCGCUCCUCUCUCCCCUCUCUGCCUCAGAGGAUCUGCAGUUUCAAAAAGCCGAUUGAGCACGGCGUGAGGCUGACGACCGGGGGGGGCUCCCACCGCCACUAGAGCAGUCCUCGUUCCGUGCCCCGCAAGGAGGAGCCCCAGUGGAACCCACAGCGCAUCGCAUCCCCGCUUUCCCCCCCGUAUCCCCAGCAUCUCGCACUCCCCGUGGAUGUCACCAGCAUCGCUGUUUCAGGGCUGGGGAUGGUACUCCCAGCUCAGCCGGGCACUUUCAUUCAUAAAAAUGCAAGAUUGCAUCCAUGAAUGUGUGCAUAAUGAACCCAGAAGGAAUGCGGCACUAAAAGAAGCCUUUGUAAUGUUGCUAUUUUAAGGAGACCCUUGGGUAUGGCACGUGUUGAACUGAGUUUCUCUAACAUCUUACAACAAACCAAAAUGUUUAGAUCCUCCCACUGAUGUAAAACAUCAUAAAAAAAAUACAUAAUCAAUCUAAACUGGCUAUGGUUUUGAGCAGGAAUUAUUGCUCUUGUGAAUUGGCUCUGUAUUGUAGCUAACUUUUACAUGGCCUAAUAAUAAACAUCUCCUCCUCCCAGCUGGAUGAAUGUUUCCCUUCUGGUGGAGAUGAGAUCCCAGCCUGGAUAAAACACCUCUUGUCCUUUCUCUUCUGGGUCACUCAGGUUCAGUGAAACAUCACGACUUACAUCAGCCAAAGCCUUUGAUCAGGGGAGGGAAAGGUCUGACAUGGAUGGGGUUGACAGCCACGCUGCAAAAAUCCCUCAUUGUGCAAGAAGCCAGUCCAAUGACCGAGUGUCACCAAGGGUGAGACAGCCUUUUCUGCUCUGUUUUCACUUGGCUAUUGCUGGUGUUUUGUUUGCAAAGUCAAGGCCAAAAUAUACAAGCAGCAGCUUUGGACACGUUGCGUUUGUGCAUUUAGCCAGAUAGCCAUGAUGAAUUUCUGGCCAUUUUUGUUGCAUGUGUUGUAAAGAGCAGAAUUUUGCUGUCAACGUUCUAUUUUUACAUGGUCAGAGAGGAGAAGCAGUAGAAUAGAGGUGUAAUUGACACUGUUUGUACAAAGCUGAAGUCGUAACUCUUGGCUGAGAUGACUGGAAGCGGUGUGUGAUGGCUUCUUUGUUGGCUCUUUAAGAAAACAUCUGCUCUGGGUCUCGUGGACAAAACCCAGGGUGAAAAAUUCUCAUACUGCAAACUGAGAAGCCAGAUGAAAACCCCAGAGAAGCUGUGGAUGCUCCACCUCUGGAGGUGCUCAAGGCCAGGUUGGAUGGGGCCCUGGGUUGCCUGAUCUGGUGGGUGGUAAACCUGCUCAUAGCCCAGGGUUAGGACUGGAUGACCUUUGAGGAUGUUUUCAGCCUAAGCUGUUCUAUGAUUCAAUGGCUUUCUCCAUUAGCAUCCAGCACUCAAGGAACAGGGCUGCUUUGGAAAUGAAUGUCAGAAUAAGGAAAAUAGGCUUUUUGUACUCACAAAAAAACAAAUGCUCAAGAAGAGUGAGGGUGAGAGUCAAAGCUAUUAAAACACUUCCUGGGACAGUAUUUUGGUUUUCAGCAGCUUUCUCUUCUGUUUUGUUUCAAUUUCUUCUAAACCCCAUCCUCCGAGUGGUAUGAAAUAAAAAAUAGUAAUAAAUAGAUUUUUCUGUACAGGAAAAAUUCAAAAAUAAAUAAAUGAAUAAAAUUUUAAUUACAUUUCUCUGCAAAGGCUCUUUACUUCUUUAAGUACACAGAAAUGCUU